AGAGUUUGAUCCUGGCUCAGAACAAACGGCUGGCGGCAUGCCUAACACAUGCAAGUCGAACGAGACCUUCGGGUCUAGUGGCGGCACGGGUGCGUAACGCGUGGGAAUCUGCCCUUCGGUUGGGAAUAACACAGAGAAAUUUGUGCUAAUACCUUAUAAUGUCUUCGGACCAAAGAUUUAUCGCCGAGGGAUGAGCCCGCGUAGGAUUAGGUAGUUGGUGGGGUAAUGGCCUACCAAGCCGACGAUCCUUAGCUGGUCUGAGAGGAUGAUCAGCCACACUGGGACUGAGACACGGCCCAGACUCCUACGGGAGGCAGCAGUGGGGAAUAUUGGACAAUGGGCGAAAGCCUGAUCCAGCAAUGCCGCGUGAGUGAUGAAGGCCUUAGGGUUGUAAAGCUCUUUUACCAGGGGUGAUAAUGACAGUACCUGGAGAAUAAGCUCCGGCUAACUCCGUG
rnacentral:rRNA from 1 species